AAACGCAAGAUUGCCGCUAAUGCUUUCUCCAUUUCAACCCCUCUUUUUCCAUAGCCGCCACUCCUUGAGCCCUAGAUCUCACCACUUCAUCUUCGCCGCAUCAGUGACAAAAUCUCUUCAAUCAUCUUCCUAUGUUAACAACAUCGACUUCCUCCUCCAACUUUCAUCACCAGCGAUGCUGUUACCGGCCAACAUAAUCAUUGUCCGUGUUCUCCUCGCUCUGCUUCAACUUCUUUCUUCAACUCUUGCAGCUCAGUCUCUAGUUUCUUUUCAUCACCAACCUCAAGGCUUUGCAGUUGGGAAGAAAUCCUACUUAAUGUGAAUUGUUCACAAAGACGCACUUUGCUAUCAAAACUAACCAAUUUGUGGAUAUUAGGUCAACUGAAGUUUCUGAACAUUACAUGAGGAUCAAGGCAUCCAGGAGUUCUAUUGUCGGAUCUCCAAGUGUGGAGGAAUCAAAUCAGCUAGAUGGUAAAGAAGUGAGGAUUUGGUUGCAGGCUUCUGGUGCUAAGAACAAGAAGGGUCAAAUUUAUGGCUUAGGAUCUAAUGCCCAGCAUAAUGACUACACACAACAUUCUGUUAGAUUCAAGGUUUUGAUGAUAACAAAUUAAGAAAUCUGUGUUUUAGUAAGUUGAUCGAUCACUGAUCGAUCAAAGAUUUAUUGAUGACUUGAUAGAUAAAGUUCUUGUGUAAACAAAUAACUUAGUAGAAAUAUUAAUCGAUAACUUGAUAGAUAAAUCAAAUUUGUAUGUGUUGAUCGAUCAUUUUUAACACCUUUUUAUAUAGAAGUUUGCAGAAAAUUAUCAAUCAAUUGAUUGAUAAUCUAGUGAUCGAACAACUGAUAGAUAAUAGGACACAAGUUUUGGUAA